rnacentral:rRNA from 1 species
GAUGAACGCUAGCGGCAGGCUUAACACAUGCAAGUCGAGGGGCAGCGGGUUGUAGCAAUACAAUGCCGGCGACCGGCGAAAGGGUGAGUAACGCGUGAGCAACAUGCCCGAUACUGGAGGAUAGUCGAUGGAAACGUCGCGUAAUACUCCGUAACAACAGAGAUCGCAUGGUUUUUGUUUAAUAGAUUUAUCGGUAUCGGAUUGGCUCGCGUGACAUUAGCUAGUCGGCGGGGUAACGGCCCACCGAGGCGACGAUGUCUAGGGGUUCUGAGAGGAAGGUCCCCCACACUGGAACUGAGACACGGUCCAGACUCC